GGGGCUUCAUACACCCAUAGCGAACCUUUCCAUCGGCGUUGCUUUGGCGGGCGAACCAGUGCCCCGACCUCUCCGGAGAGCCNGGCUUGUCCGGGUGGCGGGGUUCGCAGCCAGAGGUACGAAAAAACUCUUCUGCAUCUUAGUGCUCUCUGAGUAAGCAAGCUAAUAAAUUAAAACUUUCAACAACGGAUCUCUUGGUUCUGGCAUCGAUGAAGAACGCAGCGAAAUGCGAUAAGUAAUGUGAAUUGCAGAAUUCAGUGAAUCAUCGAAUCUUUGAACGCACAUUGCGCCCGCCAGUACUCUGGCGGGCAUGCCUGUUCGAGCGUCAUUUCAACCCUCAAGCCCUGCUUGGUGUUGGGGCCCUACGGCUGCCGUAGGCCCUGAAAGGAAGUGGCGGGCUCGCUACAACUCCGAGCGUAGUAGAAGAUCAUCUCGCUAGGGAGGAGCGGCGGGCUCCGGCCGUUAAAGACCCCAUCUUUAACCAAAGGUUGACCUCGGAUCAGGUAGG
rnacentral:rRNA from 1 species